UGGGAGGAAGUCACAGCAUGUGCUUCUGAACCUGUGCUUGCCUUGAGGAACAACGGCAUGACACGGGGAUGUGGACGCUUUCAACCAGAAGAUUCUGUACGAUAGUGUCGGCACACACUCAUCCUCGUCUACGGCCAAACGUUGGUUUCUCAUUUCUAGAAUGAAAGAUGUGAUGACUUAGGGAAAACUGGGAUCUUAGUAACUGUGGUGGGCACUGAGCCUUGCCGUCCACAAGAGAAAGCUUGCUGCUCGAGAUGUGAGUCUUCAGAUGUUCCUGCCGCCAUAUCUGACAGCUGCUGCCAAGAUUCCCUGGUGGGAUGGACUCUUAUACCUCGACAACCAGAAGCCCAAGUAAACUCUUCUAUAAAUUGAAUGACUCAUGCUUAAAAAAAACUAUCUUU
rnacentral:lncRNA from 1 species